GACAGAGGUGCCAAGCGUUAGGCGGAAUCACUGGGCUUAAAGCGUGUGUAGGCGGAUUCCUAAGUACCUUGUGAAAUCCCACGGCUCAACCGUGGAACUGCUCGGUAUACUGGGUAUCUUGAGCCACUUAGGGGCGACCGGAACAAAUGGUGGAGCGGUGAAAUGCGCAGAUACCAUUUGGAACGCCAAUGGUGAAAACAGGUAGCUGGGAGUGUGCUGACGCUGAGACACGAAAGCCAGGGGAGCGAACGGG
rnacentral:rRNA from 1 species